rnacentral:rRNA from 1 species
GAGUUUGAUCGUGGCUCAGAGCGAACGCUGGCGGCAGGCCUAACACAUGCAAGUCGAGCGCCGUAGCAAUACGGAGCGGCAGACGGGAGAGUAACACGUGGGAACGUACCCUUCAGUACGGAACAACCAAGGGAAACUUUGGCUAAUACCGUAUACGUCCGUAAGGAGAAAGAUUUAUCGCUGAAGGAUCGGCCCGCGUCUGAUUAGCUAGUUGGUGAGGUAACGGCUCACCAAGGCUACGAUCAGUAGCUGGUCUGAGAGGAUGAUCAGCCACACUGGAACUGAGACACGGUCCAGACUCCUACGGGAGGCAGCAGUGGGGAAUAUUGGACAAUGGGCGCAAGCCUGAUCCAGCCAUGCCGCGUGUGUGAAGAAGGCC